AUUAGUAACUUUUAUUCCUUCAUUGUUGUAAUUCAGCUUUCAUGGUGCAGUAGAUAAUUAUAUAACCAUAACUAGACAGUCUAGAGUAACAUGCUAUUAGGAGAAUGACAGUUCAUUACAGAAACAGCAUUAAAUAAGAAUUAUUAUUUUGCAGACACAAAGCAAUGAGGAGCAGCCUGGAGCAACACAUUUGAUCUUCAGUGGCUUUACAAAGGACCAAGUGAUGGCAGAACUGAAGCCAUAACCUCAAAAGAGAAAGGUACAGCAAAGCUCUUCAGAAUGCUAUUCAAUAUAGAAGAGAUUAGGGGCCGCUCAUUGUUUGGUAUGAGGAAAGGGAACAGAGAGUCUGACGCCAGACCUUCUUGUGCAGACAAGGCAAAACUUAAGUUCUUGGAAGAUUGUGCGCUCGAAAAGUUGCCGACAACCUAAAGGAUUGAACUCAAACCGUCCAGGAAUAGAAAGACAAACUGAAGAUAAUAAAUGGACUAAUGUUUUGCUAUUUUUUGAGACAAUAUAUAAUUUCAUAUGGAAACAUUAAAAAGGAUUAUUUUUAAAAUUUGUUUGUUUCCAAUUUAGGGUACAGGGUGACUUUCAAGCAGUUUCCAGCUAUUGCCACCCACAAGGUGGAAAAUUUCUGAAAGGGUGAAAAUAGGUGGCAUUUAGUGGAAACUGAAUAUGCCACUAUCUGGUGGC